UACGUAGGGGGCGAGCGUUGUCCGGAUUUACUGGGCGUAAAGCGCACGCAGGCGGCGCGGUAAGUCUGAUGUGAAAUCUCCCGGCUUAACUGGGAGGGGUCAUUGGAAACUGCCGAGCUUGAGGCGAUGAGAGGGGUGUAGAAUUCCCGGUGUAGUGGUGGAAUGCGUAGAUAUCGGGAAGGAACGCCGGUGGCGAAAGCGACGUACUGGACCUCUUCUGACGCUGAGGCGCGAAAGCUAGGGGGAGCAAACGGG
rnacentral:rRNA from 1 species